GGGGCUGUAGCUCAGUGGUAGAGUGCAUGCCUCGCAUGUGUGAGGCACUGGAUUCAAUCCUCAGCACCA
rnacentral:tRNA from 1 species